UUCUGCUUGUGUUUGAUUUAUUGAUUUUAUUGGUAAUUAUUGAUCAUCGGGUUCCUGCUGGUGCUUCCUGUGGACAGACUCACCUGUAGGCAGCGGUACAGGUGUUUUUCACUCACCUGUGGGCAGCGGUACAGGUGUUUUUCACUCACCUGUAGGCAGCGGUACAGGUGUUUUUCACUCACCUGUGGGCAGCGGUACAGGUGUUCUUCACUCACCUGUGGGCAGCGGUACAGGUGUUUUUCACUCACCUGUAGGCAGCGGUACAGGUGUUUUUCACUCACCUGUGGGCAGCGGUACAGGUACGCUGGGCUGCUCCUGUCGUCCUCUCUGGAUCCGGACCGUCGCCCACUGCAGAGAAAACAAGAUGAACUGUGACUCGGUUGUUUCCUCACAGCUUCAGUUAAGAAACAAGGAAGAGUUCAAGUUUUCCCGAAGGACAGAAGUCUGGUUUGAAACCAGCAGCAGCUCUAGAACGACUUUCAUCUCCAGAAAAUCACAGAAAACAUAAUUUAUCUCCAUUCCUCUUUAUUCUCCAGGACCGACUCAGUUUCAGGUUGAACUGCAGGCAGUGCUUCCUCAGAGUAGACAGAAAAGUAAAGCGUGGUAGGUUACCUCCAGGAUUUUGACGAGGACCUGGAUGUAGACGCCGGUGACGCCCAGAGACAGGCCGAACAUGGCGGGCAGCAUGAUGAGGAAGACGACCACGAACAUCCACAGCUGGAAAACAGCUGCA